UGUUUAUUUCCGGGUUUCAAGCCACUUGUGUUGUGAUUCCCAGAAACUACAAACAGCUCUAUAAUUAAGUCGUUAUUCCAAAGGAGAGUAAAUCUUUUCGUGUCUCCGCCUCCUCAGACCUCCAGACGCUGGAUUCAUCAUGAAAUCCGGAAAAGUGACAGCAGCUUCAGGCCCUUAGUUCACCUUUAUAUAGGCGGAUUAGGUGCUAGCAUCGGCUAACUGAGGAUAAACAGCAGUGCUACAGAACAAACACUAACUCUCAUCUACGAUGGGCUCCUCUAUUGAACUGAGUCACGAUCUGAAAAUGAAGCUUAUCGACGCCUACAAAGGAGGGAAAGGCUACAAAAAGAUCUCAAAGCGUUUUGGAUUUUCAAUCUCCACCAUUCGGAACGUGAUCAGGAAGUGGAAGUUAACAGGAACUGUGGAAGUGAAGGCGAGAUCUGGAAGACCUCGAAAGAUUUCUGAUAAAACAGCUCAUCUGCUGGGCAGGAAAGCAACGCUGAACCCAAACAUGACUGCCAAGGAGCUGCAGGAGGGUUUGGCUGAUGCUGGAGUCGUGGUUCAUCCGUCCACUGUGCAGCGCUGUUUGCACAAACAGGGAGUCCGUGGAAUAGGAAGAAGGAAGCUUCAGAAGGAGUCAUCAGCUGGAGAGUCAGCAGCUGAAGUCUGUGAAACAAAGUCUGAAGAAACAGAGUCGGCCUGAAAGCGCUGAUGGACUGAAGGUGAGAAGACACGAGGCUCUUUGUUAUCACUUCAAACUAAUAACUGAUUAUUAUUGACAGAACUUUGAACAGCAUCGGAGACAACAAUUCAAACCCUGCAAAGCCGAGAUGCCAAUCAGUUCCUUCCACGUAUUUUUAACCAAAACUGCAAAAAGUUCCCUCCGACCUCCUCGGAAUCAGCUGAGUCUUUAUCUGCUGUAACUUUAGUGUAUUUAAUGAAGCCAUGCAAAGUUUUACCUUCACACUGUGAAUAUUUUUAGAGUUACAGGCCCUUGAAAGACAUAGAAGUGAAAUUUCCCUCUUUAUAACAGAUUUUUUCCACAAUUUCUGAUCCUCAUCACUUCAUCAAUACAGCAGAUGGACACAUGACUUUUUCAGGGCUGAAAAACACAUUUGACUUCUGUUUAAAUCUGCCACUAAUCAGUUUUACAUCCACUCACAAUGUAGUCCUUUUUUGAACAGCAAAACUGCAACAGUGGAUAUGUUUUCUUUUUUCUGAUAAAUCGCCAGACAAAAUUCUCUCUCUCUCUCUCUC